AGGACAACCCGAAAGAAAUGGCUCCUACUUGUAUGACAUGGGUCGACUGACACCGGGAUUCCACCUUUUGAAGCAAUACCCAACAAGAGAAAGAUUUUCAAUGCUUGAUUUCCAAGACACAAUGGACAACCCGAAAGAAAUGGCUCCUACUUGUAUGACAUGGGUCGACUGACAUCGGGAUUCCACCUUUUGAAGCAAUACCCAACAAGAGAAAGAUUUUCAAUGCUUAAUUUCCAAGACACAAUGGUAUUUUACACUCACACUGACCAUAUUAAAAUACAACGAUUGGUAAUAGACAAAAUGGUGGAAGCAUAAAGACCGUCCUCGAUGCAAUCAACAAAUUGUUUCGAAACCGACAAUAGUGGAUGCACACUGAUGUGCAGUGAAAUUUCGUUAGGCCGCUACAACGUUAGCUUGAAGUAUAUCUGGAUAUACUAUAUGUAGUGUAAAUUCUGCCUGUUUAUGCCGUGACAUAUUAUGUAAUUAUGUAAGCAAUGGACUUGCCAUCGAGCCAAUGAUGAACCAUGUUUGAUGUGAUGCAGUAUACCUCUGUGAAAGCUGGUACUAGCAGUUAUAACAACAAGAACUAUUUUGUUUUUACAAGUGAAAUGUAUUGUGCACUGAUGAGCAAUAAUAUACUUUACUUUGGGGCCAUUCCUACCAAUUUGAAUUGUUGCAUAGAACGUAAUGGGAUGUUGGUCUCAAAGUACCUAUUAGGACCCCCCAAAUAACGAGGGUUUUUUUCGCAUCACCACUGGUAUAUAUUGUUUUGAACCGCGAACGGCUUUAGCCGUGAAGCUCUGUGAUAUUUAGAAGCGACAAAUGCGAACCAAAUGUUAGAAAUUACUAUCCCUGGCCAAUAUCAAUGCGAAAGUUGUUGGGUGUUUAAAAAUGAACUUUGUAUUGACUAUAUUUAAUUUCUUGUCUGUGCCAAAUGAAUUACAAAAUUAUGUCAUUUUCUGUUGAGAUGACUGCUUUUUUUAAAAACAGAUUGGAAUUAAUAAAUAUGCUUGGUAGAGUUAUCUGCCCUUUUCAUGAAAGCUGGCAGCAGUUAUAACAACAAGAACUAUUUUUGUUUUUACAAGUAAAAUGUAUUGUGCACUGAUGGGCAAUAAUAUACUUUACAAAUUUGAAUUGUUUUCUGGAGUACUUAGGCCUGUCUUUCUUAAAAUGUCAGUGUUUUUUGUGGGCAGAUAGAAUAGAAUGAAAACUUGCUGUUGAGAUAGAAAGAUAUACUGCUUGUUGCAUUGCACGUAAUCGUAUGUUGGGCUCAAAGUACCUAUUAGGACCCCCCCCCCCCAAAUAACGAGGUUUUUUUUCGCAUCACCACUGGUAUAUAUUGUUUUGAACCGCGAACGGCUUUAGCCGUGAAGCUCUGUGAUAUAUAGAAGCGACAAAUGCGAACCAAAUGUUAGAAAUUACUAUCCCUGGCCAAUAUCAAUGCGAAAGUUGUUGGGUGUUUAAAAAUGAACUUUGUAUUGACUAUAUUUAAUUUCUUGUCUGUGCCAAAUGAAUUACAAAAUUAUGUCAUUUUCUGUUGAGAUGACUGCUUUUUUUAAAAACAGAUUGGAAUUAAUAAAUAUGCUUGGUAGAGUUAUCUGCCCUUUUCAUGAAAGCUGGCAGCAGUUAUAACAACAAGAACUAUUUUUGUUUUUACAAGUGAAAUGUAUUGUGCACUGAUGGGCAAUGAUAUACUUUACAAAUUUGAAUUGUUUUCUGGAGUACUUAGGCCUGUCUUUCUUAAAAUGUCAGUGUUUUUUUGUGGGCAGAUAGAAUAGAAUGAAAACUUGCUGUUGAGAUAGAAAGAUAUACUGCUUGUUGCAUUGCACGUAAUCGUAUGUUGGGCUCAAAGUACCUAUUAGGACCCCCCCAAAUAACGAGGGUUUUUUUCGCAUCACCACUGGUAUAUAUUGUUUUGAACCGCGAACGGCUUUAGCCGUGAAGCUCUGUGAUAUAUAGAAGCGACAAAUGCGAACCAAAUGUUAGAAAUUACUAUCCCUGGCCAAUAUCAAUGCGAAAGUUGUUGGGUGUUUAAAAAUGAACUUUGUAUUGACUAUAUUUAAUUUCUUGUCUGUGCCAAAUGAAUUACAAAAUUGUGUCAUUUUCUGUUGAGAUGACUGCUUUUUUUAAAAACAGAUUGGAAUUAAUAAAUAUGCUUGGUAGAGUUAUCUGCCCUUUUCAUGAAAGCUGGCAGCAGUUAUAACAAAAAGAACUAUUUUUGUUUUUACAAGUAAAAUGUAUUGUGCACUGAUGGGCAAUAAUAUACUUUACAAAUUUGAAUUGUUUUCUGGAGUACUUAGGCCUGUCUUUCUUAAAAUGUCAGUGUUUUUUGUGGGCAGAUAGAAUAGAAUGAAAACUUGCUGUUGAGAUAGAAAGAUAUACUGCUUGUUGCAUUGCACGUAAUCGUAUGUUGGGCUCAAAGUACCUAUUAGGACCCCCCCCCCCCCCAAAUAACGAGGGUUUUUUUCGCAUCACCACUGGUAUAUAUUGUUUUGAACCGCGAACGGCUUUAGCCGUGAAGCUCUGUGAUAUAUAGAAGCGACAAAUGCGAACCAAAUGUUAGAAAUUACUAUCCCUGGCCAAUAUCAAUGCGAAAGUUGUUGGGUGUUUAAAAAUGAACUUUGUAUUGACUAUAUUUAAUUUCUUGUCUGUGCCAAAUGAAUUACAAAAUUAUGUAAUUUUCUGUUGAGAUGACUGCUUUUUUUAAAAACAGAUUGGAAUUAAUAAAUAUGCUUGGUAGAGUUAUUUGCCCUUUUCAUGAAAGCUGGCAGCAGUUAUAACAACAAGAACUAUUUUUGUUUUUACAAGUAAAAUGUAUUGUGCACUGAUGGGCAAUGAUAUACUUUACAAAUUUGAAUUGUUUUCUGGAGUACUUAGGCCUGUCUUUCUUAAAAUGUCAGUGUUUUUUUGUGGGCAGAUAGAAUAGAAUGAAAACUUGCUGUUGAGAUAGAAAGAUAUACUGCUUGUUGCAUUGCACGUAAUCGUAUGUUGGGCUCAAAGUACCUAUUAGAACCCCCCCAAAUAACGAGGGUUUUUUUCGCAUCACCACUGGUAUAUAUUGUUUUGAACCGCGAACGGCUUUAGCCGUGAAGCUCUGUGAUAUAUAGAAGCGACAAAUGCGAACCAAAUGUUAGAAAUUACUAUCCCUGGCCAAUAUCAAUGCGAAAGUUGUUGGGUGUUUAAAAAUGAACUUUGUAUUGACUAUAUUUAAUUUCUUGUCUGUGCCAAAUGAAUUACAAAAUUGUGUCAUUUUCUGUUGAGAUCACUGUUUUUUUUUUUUUUACACAGAUUGGAAUGAAUAAAUAUUGUUAAUAGAGUUAUCUGCCAUUUUCAUGAAAGCUGGCAGCAGUUAUAACAACAAGAACUAUUUUGUUUUUACAAGUGAAAUGUAUUGUGCACUGAUGGGCAAUGAUAUACUUCACAAAUUUGAAUUGUUUUCCGGAGUACUUAGGCCUGUCUUUCUUAAAAUGUCAGUGUUUUUUUGUGGGUAGAUAGAAUAGAAUGAAAACUUGCUGUUGAGAUAGAAAGGUAUACUGCUUGUUGCAUUGCACGUAAUUGUAUGUUGGGCUCAAAGUACCUAUUAGGACCCCCCCAAAUAACGAGGGUUUUUUUCGCAUCACCACUGGUAUAUAUUGUUUUGAACCGCGAACGGCUUUAGCCGUGAAGCUCUGUGAUAUUUAGAAGCGACAAAUGCGAACCAAAUGUUAGAAAUUACUAUCCCUGGCCAAUAUCAAUGCGAAAGUUGUUGGGUGUUUAAAAAUGAACUUUGUAUUGACUAUAUUUAAUUUCUUGUCUGUGCCAAAUGAAUUACAAAAUUGUGUCAUUUUCUGUUGAGAUCACUGGUUUUUUUUUUUUUUUUACACAGAUUGGAAUGAAUAAAUAUUGUUAAUAGA